UACGGAGGGUGCGAGCGUUGUCCGGAAUCAUUGGGCGUAAAGGGCGCGUAGGUGGCCACUUCAAGCGUGCGGUGAAAGUCGGGGGCUCAACCCCUGAUCGGCCGUGCGAACUGGGGGGCUGGAGCACUGUAGAGGCAGGCGGAAUUCCGGGUGUAGCGGUGGAAUGCGUAGAGAUCCGGAAGAACACCGGUGGCGAAGGCGGCCUGCUGGGCAGUUUGCUGACACUGAGGCGCGACAGCGUGGGGAGCAAACAGG
rnacentral:rRNA from 1 species